AGCAACGCCGCGUGUGUGAUGAAGGCUUUCGGGUCGUAAAGCACUGUUGUAUGGGAAGAACAGCUAGAGUAGGGAAUGACUUUAGUUUGACGGUACCAUACCAGAAAGGGACGGCUAAAUACGUGCCAGCAGCCGCGGUAAUACGUAUGUCCCGAGCGUUAUCCGGAUUUAUUGGGCGUAAAGCGAGCGCAGACGGUUGAUUAAGUCUGAUGUGAAAGCCCGGAGCUCAACUCCGGAAAGGCAUUGGAAACUGGUCAACUUGAGUGCAGUAGAGGUAAGUGGAACUCCAUGUGUAGCGGUGGAAUGCGUAGAUAUAUGGAAGAACACCAGCGGCGAAGGCGGCUUACUGGACUGUAACUGACGUUGAGGCUCGAAAGUGUGGGUAGCAAACAGGAUUAGAUACCCUGGUAGUCCACACCGUAAACGAUGAACACUAGGGUUAGGGAGGUUUCCGCCUCUUAGGAACCGAAGGAAACGCAAUAAGUGUACCGCCUGGGGGAGUAGAACCGCAAGGUUGAAACUCAAAGGAAUUGACGGGGACCCGCACAAAGGGUGGAGCAUGUGGUUGAAUUCGAAGCAACGCGAAGAACCUUUCCAGGUCUUGACAUCCUAUGAAGCUUUUAGAGAUAGAAGUGUUCUCUUCGGAGACAAAGUGACAGGUGGUGCAUGGUCGUCGUCAGCUCGUGUCGUGAGAUGUUGGGUUAAGUCCCGCAACGAGCGCAACCCUUAUUGUUAGUUGCCAGCAUUCAGAUGGGCACUCUAGCGAGACUGCCGGUGACAAACCGGAGGAAGGCGGGGACGACGUCAGAUCAUCAUGCCCCUUAUGACCUGGGCUACACACGUGCUACAAUGGCGUAUACAACGAGUUGCCAACCUGUGAAGGUGAGCUAAUCUCUUAAAGUACGUCUCAGUUCGGACUGCAGUCUGCAACUCGACUGCACGAAGUCGGAAUCGCUAGUAAUCGCGGAUCAGCACGCCGCGGUGAAUACGUUCCCGGGUCUUGCACUCACCGCCCGUCA
rnacentral:rRNA from 1 species